rnacentral:rRNA from 2 species
GGCUCAGGAUGAACGCUGCGGCGUGCCUAAUACAUGCAAGUCGAGCGAAUGGAUUAAGAGCUUGCUCUUAUGAAGUUAGCGGCGGACGGGUGAGUAACACGUGGGUAACCUGCCCAUAAGACUGGGAUAACUCCGGGAAACCGGGGCUAAUACCGGAUAACAUUUUGAACUGCAUGGUUCGAAAUUGAAAGGCGGCUUCGGCUGUCACUUAUGGAUGGACCCGCGUCGCAUUAGCUAGUUGGUGAGGUAACGGCUCACCAAGGCAACGAUGCGUAGCCGACCUGAGAGGGUGAUCGGCCACACUGGGACUGAGACACGGCCCAGACUCCUACGGGAGGCAGCAGUAGGGAAUCUUCCGCAAUGGACGAAAGUCUGACGGAGCAACGCCGCGUGAGUGAUGAAGGCUUUCGGGUCGUAAAACUCUGUUGUUAGGGAAGAACAAGUGCUAGUUGAAUAAGCUGGCACCUUGACGGUACCUAACCAGAAAGCCACGGCUAACUACGUGCCAGCAGCCGCGGUAAUACGUAGGUGGCAAGCGUUAUCCGGAAUUAUUGGGCGUAAAGCGCGCGCAGGUGGUUUCUUAAGUCUGAUGUGAAAGCCCACGGCUCAACCGUGGAGGGUCAUUGGAAACUGGGAGACUUGAGUGCAGAAGAGGAAAGUGGAAUUCCAUGUGUAGCGGUGAAAUGCGUAGAGAUAUGGAGGAACACCAGUGGCGAAGGCGACUUUCUGGUCUGUAACUGACACUGAGGCGCGAAAGCGUGGGGAGCAAACAGGAUUAG